CAGGAAACAAUGAUACAUUACUAAUACUUAAUUCAAGUCAGUGGCAGGAAAUGAUAAACCAUAACCAGCAACGCAUUAAUUACAGCAAUGCAUUACUUUUUCUGCAACUCAGAGAAUACCUUAAGUUUGGCAGUUUUUUAGCAACUCAGUCAACAUUGCAUGUAAGCUUAACACAAUAAUGCAUAUUUUUUCUUUUUUGUGUCACUCCUCACCACAUAUGGCAGAUUUAGUGUGAAGAGCCACCUGUACAAGAUUCCUGGGACAGCAGAACAUGCACCUCACGCACUACCCUGGCACCCUGGCUGAACAACCCGCAGCACAUCAUCUCCAGCUGAGAGGGGGACUCAUACAUUCAUUUGAAAUCAGCUCUACUGAGCGUAACACAACUCUUGCAAUCAAAUUUGGCAGAGGCUCUGAAGGCCACAUAGCCAGCAAGGUACACUGACACAUUGCCCUCAAUGACGUCCAGCCCCUUCAUGAACUCUGUGUUGUCCAGUCCAGGGAAUGUGGGUUCCUCAUCAGUAGACUGUACGUGAGGCAUGGUCAGUGCGGUGCAUGGAUGGGGAGUUGCCAUCUGCGAUGACUCAGUGCAGCUCUACAAAAUCAUUGCAAAAGAUUACAGACUUACAGUAUACUAAUCAUGUGUGACACUUUUGUUUUUGAAAGGGUGUUUCGUCUACCUCAAACAAAUGGGACAAUUGCAGCAAUAGGUGUAUUUCCUCCGGUUCGCAAUUUGUAUUUCUCCCAAAUGUCAUUAGAUAGUCUAGCACGGCCUGCCUGUAGUCUAAUCGGAAUUGCUGAGGGUCUGGAUUGUCCCUGUGCCCGCCCUUCGCUCUGAUCACCCCAAAGAAGUGUUCCAGGCAGUCCUGGUUGAGGUGCCUCGUAAAUAGAAACUGAAAUCCUUUCUCUGUGAAUGCAAAUGACAAACAGUACAUUGGCCAACAGCAGAAAACAUGCAGUGGUGGACAAAGCUCAUUAGCAUUAGCAAAGCUCAAUUUGAAUAAUUAUGCCUUAUUGCUGCUACCUUUCAAUUCAGCCCAGAUUUCCUUGAUUGCUCUUAGGUUAUGCCUCCAACCAUUUAGGCAAUUCAAGCUGUUGCCACUGGCACAUCUGACAGAUGCCAGCCAGUUAAUACUCUCAUUGAUAAAAUCAAUAUGUGUCUCUCUGAAGGCAUCCUUUUGUGGUGUGCUGCUGGACAAUGUGCUACUGUUAAAGCAGUCAAACAUCUGGUUAAAGUGGGCUACAAAAUCUGCCGUCGUUUUUGCCCCCUCUCUUAGCUUCCCCAUGUCUGCCAUGGUGAGCAGUGCAGCCGCAACAGAAUGACUAAGAACCUGUAAUAAAAAAAUAAAAAAAAUCCCAUUUUCAGGACCAUAGAUAAAGAUUGUAAAUUGAAUGUUAUACGCCUGCAUGACAGUUUUCACUUGUGGCUUACCUGAGUGGCGAGAGGCACACUCAUUGUUGAAAAGGCAGUGAGGGACAGAUGCCGUUGGGUUAACUUGGGUGCCAUUCGGUGUUGUCUUUGUGAAUCAAUUUUAAACAUUUCAGUGAUGUCUCCCCAUUCUGCCAAUUUGUCCCCUAUGUAAAAUCCAUAUUUUCGCAAAUUGUUUCUGAUGUUUUCAUUAAAUGGGGGGGGGUCGAAUAAAAAAUGAAUCUUCUGGCUUUUGACAAAGAAGUACGGUUUUUCUUCUGUUAUACCCAGGUUUCUACAGGCUGCCAGGUUGUUGCUGCCUUGGUCCAUUACCAGCACCAUGGGAGUGAAGCCAGUGUCAAGCACCUUUUCCACCGCCUCCAUGAUUUUGGUUUUUAAGACCCCAUGCUUCAUGGUCCCAGAUGACAAGAAGUACCCUAUGGGUUGUUUCCAUUUCCCAGUUAGACUACGGAUCAUGAAAACCCCUGCAUGGUUGGCUGGUCUUCCCCCUUCGUCAUACCCUUCUACUUCAUCUUUCGAGAUGUUAUAAUUUAGGCUACAUUUCAAUGUAAUUUCAUCAAAUGUGAUGGCAACGUGCCUAUCUCGCUCUUCCAUAUGCUGCACUUGAUGUUUAAGUGCAUACAGCACAGGUUCAUGCCAUCCCGGCCCGAUGUCUACUCUCUGCAAGAUAUUUGAAAGGGUCCUGGCUGUAGGGAGCUUGAAAAUUCUCCUCAUGGUUCGGUAGGCUUUUGGCCCUGUACCCUUAACCUGUAACGCCCAACUUUUCAUGAAGUUGCUCCACCGAAUGGCCCUUGGUUUUUUUUUUUGGCAUUAUCAAUUUGCUCGUUGACAAAUUGUGCGGCUUGUUUUGGCAAUACUUUGGAAAUUUCCCUCUUUAAUGUUUGUUUGCUGAUAGAUGGUGUCUUUUUCUUUAGCCUUGACAGCUUUGAUUUGUAGCAGCCAAUUUUUCUUUUCAGUUUUUUCCACUGUGUUGUCAUUGCUGACACUGGCCAGUACAUCAGUGCCUAAAAAGAAAUGUGACAACUGUAACAACAGACUUAUGCACAGACUACUACCUAUGCAGUGUUCAACACUCAGAAUGUAUCUGUUACCACCAUUUGCCAUUAAAUCACUUACUAUCCAGGA